rnacentral:tRNA from 1 species
GGUCGGGUGGCGUAAUGGUAGCGUGUGGUCCUCCUAAGACUGAGGUUGUGGGUUCGAGUCCCACCUCGAUCG